rnacentral:lncRNA from 1 species
GUAAACUCUUCUGAGGGCUCAUUAAACUGCAUGAAUAGACACAGUUCAAAUAGGCAACGUGGGUUUUUACAGUAGGGAUGAAAAGUCAUUCACUGUAUUUCAUUUCUCCCAAAUCAGAAAUUUUUAGUAUUUCAUUUACAAGUAAAAGUUGGUUUUGUGGUCUAUGGAUAUACUUCUAGUAAAUACUAGAUUAUCCAAGUACUGUGUGCAUGUGCGUGUGUGUGUGUGUGUGUGUGUGUACGCGCGCGUGUGUGUCUGUGUGUGCUCGUGUCUGUGUGUGUAUCUUUAAAUGAUCAGUGUGAUAGGCUCCUUUAAUAAAAAUUAAAAUUCUUAAGUGUAUAUGUAAUAUGUGGAGAAUAAAAGCCAAAGUCAUACAGAAAUGCAGUCUAGGUGACAUUCAGAGAUGCUGUGUUGGGCUGGUACCAGAAUGCAUUGAUGUGUGUGCUUUACCGUUGUGACUUCUCAAUAUUCUGCAGCGUUUCUUAAGAGCAUGGUUGUAAUGUUCGUAAAGCAGACCUCAUCAUAAGAAGAAAAUGAAUGACAUUUUCUCUCCUGUGGAAGUCCCAAUAGCCAGAGCUCCUGAUAUUUUAGAAACAGAUGGUUUUUAAGUGGCCACAUGUAAUUUUAUGCAGUUGACUAUAUAUCUUAAACUUAAUAAGCUCAUUUUGUGGUUCAUUAGUUUAAGGUAUUUGUUUACUAACAUGUUUUUAGAGAAAAUACUGUUACUUGGCAUUAAUUGUCCAUUUACAGUGUUCUGUUAAGUUCCUCAUGCUAUGCACCUUACAUAAUUUCCCUAAAGAACAGUCAUCUAUCACUGUGGUGUUAAACCGCAAUCUGGAUAUAACAAACACCAUCACUGCUUGUGGGUAAUGUGCUGUCAUCAUAUAAAUAUUCUACCUUUUCAUGUAUAUAGAUUGCAUUUCUUAGGUGUUUUAAUUUUUAAAAUAUAUUUACAUUCUAAAAAAUUACUGUCUUCUGUUUUAUAUCUAUCAAAAGUGAUGUUAUGAAAAAUUUUUUGUAAAACAGUUUUCAGAAUGAUAUAUAUCUAUACAUAAAUAUAUAUGGUAUAC